rnacentral:misc_RNA from 1 species
UAUCAGUGUUUUCUUUUCCUUUCUCGGAGGAAGCUGCAAGGCUGUUCAAUCUUACAUUUUAUUGUUUGUUAUAAAGAUACAAAAUCGAUCAGCAGUAUUCUACAGUUUAAAAAAGAAAAGAGAAGGAUGGUUUGGGGGGCUGAACUCAAUUGCUUCCAUUUAGGAAAGCUUUUUCACCCAGAUCAACCCUUGCCAUUAUCCACAGGAGCUCAGGAGGGGACUCUGAAUUAAUCAGUUGAAAUGUACAUUAUGUCCUCCUUUGCUAUUUGCAUUUGCCCUCUGUCUCUUCUAUUCGGUGCCUGUGUCCUGUUGGGCUGGCCUCGCUUUCUCAAAACGAACGAAAGGUAUAGAUAUGCCACUUCCCACUCGUCCGGAGAUAAUGUACUCUGAUCUUGGUUGCCAUCACCCAAGGCGCCAAGUCGUCGCAUUAGAUCCACGAAUUCAGGUUUUUUCAAGUACUCAUGCACAAAUUCGUGCGAGUUCUUGACAAAAACCAACUCUAAGUCAUACUCUUCAGCCAACAAUUUGAAAACAUGAAAUGGGACAAUCCAUUCGGGACAAUCAACAGCAUCCUCUAGAUGAAACAAGUACUUUAUACCAAAGGGGCUGGAAGCGUUAA